GAUGAACGCUGGCGGCGUGCCUAAUACAUGCAAGUCGAGCGAACGGACGAGAAGCUUGCUUCUCUGAUGUUAGCGGCGGACGGGUGAGUAACACGUGGAUAACCUACUUAUAAGACUGGGAUAACUUCGGGAAACCGUAGCUAAUACCGGAUAAUAUUUUGAACCGCAUGGUUCAAAAGUGAAAGACGGUCUUGCUGUCACUUAUAGAUGGAUCCGCGCUGCAUUAGCUAGUUGGUAAGGUAACGGCUUACCAAGGCAACGAUGCAUAGCCGACCUGAGAGGGUGAUCGGCCACACUGGAACUGAGACACGGUCCAGACUCCUACGGGAGGCAGCAGUAGGGAAUCUUCCGCAAUGGGCGAAAGCCUGACGGAGCAACGCCGCGUGAGUGAUGAAGGUCUUCGGAUCGUAAAGCUCUGUUAUUAGGGAAGAACAGAUGUGUAAGUAACUGUGCACAUCUUGACGGUACCUAAUCAGAAAGCCACGGCUAACUACGUG
rnacentral:rRNA from 1 species